rnacentral:rRNA from 1 species
CUACGGGUGGCAGCAGUGGGGAAUAUUGCACAAUGGGCGCAAGCCUGAUGCAGCCAUGCCGCGUGUAUGAAGAAGGCCUUCGGGUUGUAAAGUACUUUCAGCGGGGAGGAAGGGAGUAAAGUUAAUACCUUUGCUCAUUGACGUUACCCGCAGAAGAAGCACCGGCUAACUCCGUGCCAGCAGCCGCGGUAAUACGGAGGGUGCAAGCGUUAAUCGGAAUUACUGGGCGUAAAGCGCACGCAGGCGGUUUGUUCAGUCAGAUGUGAAAUCCCCGGGCUCAACCUGGGAACUGCAUCUGAUACUGGCACGCUUGAGUCUCGUAGAGGGGGGUAGAAUUCCAGGUGUAGCGGUGAAAUGCGUAGAGAUCUGGAGGAAUACCGGUGGCGAAGGCGGCCCCCUGGACGAAGACUGACGCUCAGGUGCGAAAGCGUGGGGAGCAAACAGGAUUAGAUACCCCAGUAGUC